GCCCUUCACUACGGAAUAGCCUCUGGAAACGGAGAGUAAUACCGUAUGCGCCCUUCGGGGAAAGAUUUAUCGGUGAAGGAUUAGCCCGCGUCUGAUUAGAUAGUUGGUGGGGUAACGGCCUACCAAGUCGACGAUCAGUAGCUGGUUUGAGAGGAUGAUCAGCAACACUGGGACUGAGACACGGCCCAGACUCCUACGGGAGGCAGCAGUGGGGAAUCUUAGACAAUGGGCGCAAGUGAUCUAGCCAUGCCGCGUGAGUGACGAAGGCCUUAGGGUCGUAAAGCUCUUUCGCCAGGGAUGAUAAUGACAGUACCUGGUAAAGAAACCCCGGCUAACUCCGUGCCAGCAGCCGCGGUAAUACGGAGGGGGUUAGCGUUGUUCGGAAUUACUGGGCGUAAAGCGCGCGUAGGGGAUUGGAAAGUUGGGGGUGAAAUCCCGGGGCUCAACCCCGAACUGCCUCCAAAACUAUCAGUCUAGAGUUCGAGAGAGGUGAGUGGAAUUCCAAGUGUAGAGGUGAAAUUCGUAGAUAUUUGGAGGAACACCAGUGGCGAAGGGGCUCACUGGCUCGAUACUGACGCUGAGGUGCGAAAGUGUGGGGAGCAAACAGGAUUAGAUACCCUGGUAGUCCACACCGUAAACGAUGAAUGCCAGACGUCGGGGGGCUUGCCUUCGGUGUCACACCUAACGGAUUAAGCAUUCCGCCUGGGGAGUACGGUCGCAAGAUUAAAACUC
rnacentral:rRNA from 1 species